rnacentral:rRNA from 1 species
UAUGACGGGUAUCCGGCCUGAGAGGGUGAACGGACACACUGGAACUGAGACACGGUCCAGACUCCUACGGGAGGCAGCAGUAGGGAAUAUUGCUCAAUGGGGGAAACCCUGAAGCAGCAACGCCGCGUGGAGGAUGAAGGUUUUAGGAUUGUAAACUCCUUUUGUUAGAGAAGAUAAUGACGGUAUCUAACGAAUAAGCACCGGCUAACUCCGUGCCAGCAGCCGCGGUAAUACGGAGGGUGCAAGCGUUACUCGGAAUCACUGGGCGUAAAGAGCGCGUAGGCGGGAUAGUCAGUCAGGUGUGAAAUCCUAUGGCUUAACCAUAGAACUGCAUUUGAAACUACUAUUCUAGAGUGUGGGAGAAGUAGGUGGAAUUCUUGGGUGUAGGGGUUAAAUCCACUC